rnacentral:rRNA from 1 species
AGUGGCGGACGGGUGAGUAACGCGUAAGAAUCUAACUUCAGGACGGGGACAACAGUGGGAAACGACUGCUAAUACCCGAUGUGCCGCGAGGUGAAACCUAAUUGGCCUGAAGAAGAGCUUGCGUCUGAUUAGCUAGUUGGUGGGGUAAGAGCCUACCAAGGCGACGAUCAGUAGCUGGUCUGAGAGGAUGAGCAGCCACACUGGGACUGAGACACGGCCCAGACUCCUACGGGAGGCAGCAGUGGGGAAUUUUCCGCAAUGGGCGAAAGCCUGACGGAGCAACGCCGCGUGAGGGAGGAAGGUCUUUGGAUUGUAAACCUCUUUUCUCAAGGAAGAAGUUCUGACGGUACUUGAGGAAUCAGCCUCGGCUAACUCCGUGCCAGCAGCCGCGGUAAUACGGGGGAGGCAAGCGUUAUCCGGAAUUAUUGGGCGUAAAGCGUCCGCAGGUGGUCAGCCAAGUCUGCCGUCAAAUCAGGUCGCUUAACGACCUAAAGGCGGUGGAAACUGGCAGACUAGAGAGCAGUAGGGGUAGCAGGAAUUCCCAGUGUAGCGGUGAAAUGCGUAGAGAUUGGGAAGAACAUCGGUGGCGAAAGCGUGCUACUGGGCUGUAUCUGACACUCAGGGACGAAAGCUAGGGGAGCGAAAGGGAUUAGAUACCCCUGUAGUCCUAGCCGUAAACGAUGGAUACUAGGCGUGGCUU